CCCGCCACUAUGCCUGUCUGUUCCGUGUGACAUGAGUGUAAUCCAGUGGAGGCUCAGAUUGACCCAGCUUUAGGAAACAGAGCUGCUCAAACAUAAUGAACAACUUUGUGCCGCAAAGUCUGGAACAUUA